rnacentral:rRNA from 1 species
CCCGCUGAACUUAAGCAUAUCACUAAGCGGAGGAAAAGAAAUUAACUAAGAUUGCCUCAGUAACGGCGAGUGAAGCGGCAAAAGCCCAAAAUGUAAAUCUUCACGCUGCGCGUGACGAAUUGUAAUCUAAAGAUGGUUCGCUCACCGGGUGGUGGCGCAGAAGUGCCUUAGAACGGGCCGCCAGAGAGGGUGAAAGCCCCGUAUGUGGUGCCACUACCUAACGAGCGGGUUGUCCAAGAGUCGGGUUGUUUUGUAUUGCAGCCCUAAGUGGGAGAUAAACUUCUUCUAAGGCUAAAUAUCUAUGGGAAACCGAUAGCGAACAAGUACUGUGAAGGAAAGAUGAAAAGAACUUUGAAAAGAGAGUCAAAAGACUUGAAAUCGUUGAGAAGGAAGCGGUAGGAAUUUAUUCUUCGGCGGAGGACGGUGUUGGCUGCCCAACCAUUGCUGGCCGUGAGUACUGCAAAGGCUCUGGCUAGUACUUGGGGAAGCGGCCAAUUUGCCCUCCGUCGUGAGGCAAGAUGGGGUCGCGCUCCCGCAGAAGCUUCUCUGACCUGGCCUGAUUCGUUAGGCAGUCAGGGUGUGCUGGCGGGCGUGCGGCCUGAGGGUGCUUCGUGCGAUCUUGCCAAAAUGGUUCUUACCGACCCGUCUUGAAACACGG